rnacentral:tRNA from 1 species
GGGUCCGUGGUCUAGUGGCUAUGACGCUCGCUUGACAUGCGAGAAAUCGCAGGUUCAAUUCCUGCCGGACCCA